rnacentral:rRNA from 1 species
UACGUAGGGGGCGAGCGUUGUCCGGAUUUAUUGGGCGUAAAGAGCGUGUAGGCGGCCAGGUAGGUCUGCUGUGAAACUCGAGGCUCAACCUCGAGACGUCGGCGGAAACCAUCUGGCUAGAGUCCGGAAGAGGCGAGUGGAAUUCCUGGUGUAGCGGUGGAAUGCGCAGAUAUCAGGAAGAACACCCGUGGCUAAGGCGGCUCUCUAGUACGGUACUGACGCUGAGACGCGAAAGCGUGGGGAGCGAACAGG